UACGAAGGGGGCUAGCGUUGCUCGGAAUUACUGGGCGUAAAGGGAGCGUAGGCGGAUAGUUUAGUCAGAGGUGAAAGCCCAGGGCUCAACCUUGGAAUUGCCUUUGAUACCGGCUAUCUUGAGUAUGGGAGAGGUAUGUGGAACUCCGAGUGUAGAGGUGAAAUUCGUAGAUAUUCGGAAGAACACCAGUGGCGAAGGCGACAUACUGGCCCAUUACUGACGCUGAGGCUCGAAAGCGUGGGGAGCAAACAGG
rnacentral:rRNA from 1 species